AACGGAUGCGAUCAUACCAGCACUAAUGCACCGGAUCCCAUCAGAACUCCGCAGUUAAGCGUGCUUGGGCGAGAGUAGUACUAGGAUGGGUGACCUCCCGGGAAGUCCUCGUGUUGCAUCCCUCUUUUUUUUUUUUUUUUUUUUGGUUAAAACUUUAUGACUCUAUAACUUCUAUACCGUGAGGCCAAACUUGGCAUGUGAUACCUUUUCGGAAAGCCCAAAGAGAGCCCUCCGACGAAAGAAGCAAGACAAUGGAACUUUUCCAUUGACUUUUUGUCGACUCCAAAUUUUGACCUUUAAGUACUUUUUCGGGCAUUUUCGUGAUUUGUGCUAUAUUACGGACCCAAAAUUACUUUUUCAAGCAUUGUUUUCGAAUAUUUUUCAUGCAUCAAAGCUCGUUAAGACUAGAUGGGGUAUCCC